GACGAACGCUGGCGGCGUGCUUAACACAUGCAAGUCGAGCGAUGAAACACCUUCGGGUGCGGAUUAGCGGCGAACGGGUGAGGAACACGUGAGGAAUCUGCCUUCCACUCUGGGAUAACUCCGAGAAACCGGGGCUAAUACUGGAUACUUUCAACUGGCGGCAUCGCCGGUUGAAGAAAGUUUUUCGGUGGAAGAUGACCUCGCGGCCUAUCAGCUUGUUGGUGAGGUAAAGGCUCACCAAGGCGACGACGGGUAGCCGGCCUGAGAGGGCGACCGGCCACACUGGGACUGAGACACGGCCCAGACUCCUACGGGAGGCAGCAGUGGGGAAUAUUGGGCAAUGGAGGAAACUCUGACUCAGCGACGCCGCGUGAGGGAUGAAGGCCUUCGGGUUGUAAACCUCUUUCAGCAGGGAAUAAGCGAAAGUGAAGGUACCUGCAGAAGAAGCACCGGCUAACUAUGUGCCAGCAGCCGCGGUAA
rnacentral:rRNA from 1 species